UCCAGAUUACCAUCUCACUCUCUCCAUGAGAACACCAUCUUCAUCCUUUCGUCUUCCUCUCCUUAGGCUUCAUUCUUACUUAUUCCUCUGAAUAUUUUGAUCUCAUCAUCCAUUCUCAGAUCUCAUAUUGAUUAACCUUUUGUUGCUUUAUUUCCCUCUCUAUCUCAUCUCACAAUCGUAAAUGGAGAGAUUGAGAAUAAUAGACAUAGAAGAAAACUCGAAGUCACUAAUAAAAAGUAUUCUUUAAAAGGUUAUGAUUUUUGUUAGGUUUUUUUUUUUUAAUUUAUGUUCGGCAUUUCUGUUUCUUAACAUGUGAUUUGACUAACAUGUAUUUUUUAUCUUGUGAAGCCAUGGAUCGAACCAUACUUUCUUGGUUGAAAGCUCAAAGUCACAGGAUCUCAUAUAGAAGAACAAGAUGCAGAAGCCUUAGCCUUCAUGUUGAAUUCAACUAUUAAAGAUUUAUUAUGCACCAAUGUUCAUAGUGUGUUCAUAGUGUUAUUGUUUUAUGUUUAUGUUAAUUAAAAUGUUUAUUUGAUAUUGUAAUAAAUUAUAUUUAUUUUUACCUAUAAUAGUGGAACUCUAAGCAAGUCAAAAUCCUUUAA